UCGGCAAGGUUUUAAAAAGUGAUGUUAUAGCUACUGGACAUUGAAGCGAUUGAAGACCAGAAAGCCUUAGUGCGACCGGCUUGAUUCAGGUGGCCUAUAUGUAUACCAUUGGGAGAGUUAAAGAAGUUUAGUCCUCUAAAAGAAGUCCUCCGGAAAGUUUACUGCAACAAAGAUUACUCCCCGAGAGCGACACUCGUUAAGGAUGCGAGUAUUUGAAGUUCCGCUUUCAAGCAUUGGACGGCCUGCAAAUUACCAUUGGAGCCAAACUGUAUACAUUUUCUAGAUGAUCUUAAAUACGGAGCGGUAUUCUAAAGAUGCAGUUGUGCAGUGUGUAGUUCGUAGAUUACGAAACAACGGAGCGAGAAUACAGUUGGCGUUCCGUUUUGGGUCAGUUAUUUUGUUUUCCUUUUUCCAUGUUUUAAAGUCGCUGUGCUUUAUGCUCAGGAUCGAAGCAAAAUGUACAGGAGUAGGCUGCGAUGUGAUGCGUGUUGUAUAAAACCAAUAAACCAAAAAUGGCA